AGGGUCGAAAUCAGACCUUUGGUCACUAAAAUGAUGGCCUAGGACAAAAUAGGGUUUCAUUCGAAGAUCGAAGAUUAUGAUUUGAGAGCUAGCUUGAAGUUCUUUCUAGAGACAUAAGAAUUAUUUUGAAGGGGAUUUGGAGGACUUAGCAAUUGUUAUUCAAAGUCAGGGUUUUUAUCGGUGAUUUGGAUUUUAUACAAUAUAAUUAGGACAAGCAAUUUUGGUUAAUUCUUACAAUUGGCAUGACAUCUAUGUUUGAAACUUUGAUGUUAUUUGGAUUAUUGGAUGUGUUAAGUGUAUGAAAAUUUUGUGAUAACCUAACGACACAGUUUAGAGAUAUCUAGUUUUUAGCACAAGAGAAUUUGAGAAGGUGGUAGUUUGAGUUUGGGUAGGGUUUCUAUGAUAUCUGAAGAUCUAUUAGUCGGAUUAAGGUGAAAAUUGGCAUGGUGUUGGAAGACUUAAAGAUC
rnacentral:lncRNA from 1 species